AGUGAAGCCCAUGAGCCACUAGAAGCCACAUGUUCUGCCAUGUGGAGAAGAAUGAGAGAGUACAUCCUCAAAUUGAGGUGUGGCAUGAUGAUUUGGCUGCCCAGAGGAGAACCUGUCUUUCCCAUCUAAAGUGGGAGGUCAAGCCAAGUAGAGGUUAACAGCAUGUGAUCCUGAGAGGCGAUGGAAACAGUGAAUUGCCGGGCCAGGGCCAUCUCCGCCUGGCUGUGGAAGAGGAACGGGAUCCCUUCCUGGACUGCAUAAGCCCCAGGUUUGUUGGAAACCAAGAUCAAACAACUAAGAGAGUCAAAGCUGAGACUGUGCCCUUUUCACUCCACCAGACCAGCCACCUUUCAAGGGCCUGUGCCUGUGGUAACUGUCUAUGAGCCAGGUAUAUCUGAAGCAUAUUUGACAACAGAAAAAGUUAAUGUAAUUUUCAAAGGAAAAACGCCAACUUUUUUCAAAAAGGAAACAGCAACUGGAGAGCAGAUUUGCAAACCAGAAAAGCAACUCAUGAAUACAAAUUGCCUGGAAAGCAUUUAUUACAACAGAAGCUCUGCAAGAUAUACCGGAAAUUGACAGUGGCAUCGAAUUCCCAGCAAGGAAGGUUAGUAUGAAAGGACUUGCUAUUACUUAGGGUCACCAGAACAUGCUAUUCUGUUACGUUUUUAGACACUAAAAAAGAUAGCAAAUAAUGAAAAUAAGGUUAAUACCAGCACAGAUCAUGCCUACAUUUGCCUAAAAUGUUUGAAAGAGAGUAUGACUUCACAGGAGUGGUGUAAAUAAUGAAGAGUUAUAAGAAGGGCCCAGUAUUAGCAAGCUGAUAUCUCUCAAAUGAUCUUUCAGUUCAUAGCAAUGCAAUUGGUCUUAAUUUGGAAGCAAGAUUACUUAAAACGCAAAGAAACAUUUAUACCAUAAAGAAAAUUAUUUUUAAAAAAACUCUUAAGCACUUUCAAAACAAUCUUCCCAGUUAAAGAAAAAAUUCAAUGAACCUGG
rnacentral:lncRNA from 1 species